CUCUACGUGCUUGCGUCAUGACGUCAGGACGUACAUAUGCUGACGUCUUCCGUCGAGCGGGAAUCUUCGUUGAGCUGCUUGUUUGUUUUGAACGCGUUGGUGAAGAUGGCGAUGAGUGCGAGUCGAGUAGAGGUGGAGGCAGACGUUGAAGAGGACGAGAGCUUCGGCCCACAGCCACUGAACCGCCUGGAGCAGUGUGGAAUCAGUGCCAGUGAUCUAAAGAAGCUGGAGGACGCAGGGUUCCACACCAUCGAGGCCGUAGCGUACGCUCCUAAAAAAGAGCUGUUGAACAUAAAAGGCAUCAGUGAGGCUAAAGCUGACAAGAUCCUGGGUGAAGCAGCUAAACUGGUUCCGAUGGGAUUCACCACAGCGACAGAGUUUCAUCAGCGCAGAGCUGAGAUCAUCCAGAUCUCCACCGGCUCCAAAGAGCUCGACAAACUGCUGCAAGGUGGUAUUGAGACGGGCUCCAUCACAGAGAUGUUCGGUGAGUUCCGUACAGGAAAGACUCAGCUGUGCCACACGCUGGCGGUGACGUGUCAGCUUCCUAUCGAUCAGGGGGGAGGAGAAGGGAAGGCCAUGUACAUCGACACUGAGGGCACCUUCAGACCUGAGAGACUGCUCGCUGUGGCAGAGAGGUAUGGACUCGUCGGCAGUGAUGUUUUGGAUAAUGUAGCAUACGCUCGAGCUUUUAACACAGAUCAUCAGACUCAGCUGCUCUAUCAGGCUUCAGCUAUGAUGGCAGAGUCCAGGUAUGCCCUGUUGAUAGUGGACAGUGCCACUGCGCUCUACAGGACAGAUUAUUCAGGAAGAGGUGAGCUCUCUGCCCGUCAGUGUCAUUUGGGGCGUUUCCUCCGUAUGCUGCUGCGUCUCGCUGACGAGUUUGGUGUUGCCGUUGUCAUCACCAAUCAGGUUGUAGCGCAGGUGGACGGAGCAGCCAUGUUUUCCGCAGAUCCAAAAAAGCCAAUUGGAGGAAAUAUUUUAGCACAUGCCUCCACGACCAGGUUGUAUUUGAGGAAGGGCCGUGGUGAAACUCGGAUCUGUAAAAUUUACGACUCUCCCUGCUUACCUGAGGCGGAGGCCAUGUUCGCCAUCAACGCGGAUGGAGUAGGAGAUGCUAAAGACUGAGGGCACAAAACAGUGUGUUCAUGUGAGAGACGGACGGUGACUGAUACACACACACGUGCUGCUAUAAUGUGUGUUCAUCUGUGCAGUGUGUGAGGGAAGAACACAGGAACAGUGCCACCUGCUGGUGAAGAGUGGUUCAUGUGUUUCAGAUGACAUUUUUCUUUUCAGCCCCCCUUAGACCUGUGAGUGAAGGACAGAAUGCAGAUUGUGAUGGAAUAAAAGAAGAGAGAAAGAAAAAGAAUAAAAGAAGGAAAACAGAAAAACAGAGCAGGAGAAUAAAAGGAAAUGAGAUGGAGUGAGAGACCGAGUGGUGGGAAUGAAAGGAAAGUUAACCUUUGCAAUGUAGAGUCUCACUGCUCUGGAGAAUCCUGGCUUUAGCUCUUCAGCCUGCACACACACACACACACACAAACACACACACACGCACACAUACACACACACGCACAGAUAAACACACACACGCGCGCACACGCACGCACGCACACAUACAUACACACACGCACACACAAACACACACACACGAACACACAGGUUGUUUCCAUGAUUACAGUUCUCUAGUUACAUUUAUUUACUUGGUUGUAAAUAUUGAGCAAUGCUGUGUGUGUGUGUGUGUGUGUGUGUGUGUGUGUGUGUGUGUGUGUGUGUGUGUGUGUGUGUGAGA